UACGUAGGGUGCAAGCGUUGUCCGGAAUUAUUGGGCGUAAAGAGCUCGUAGGCGGUCUGUCGCGUCUGCUGUGAAAACCCGGGGCUCAACUCCGGGCCUGCAGUCGAUACGGGCGGACUAGAGUACAGAAGGGGCAACUGGAAUUCUCGGUGUAGCGGUGAAAUGCGUAGAUAUCGAGAGGAACACCUGCGGCGAAGGCGGGUUGCUGGGCCGACACUGACGUGGAGGCGCGAAAGCCAGGGGAGCGAACGGG
rnacentral:rRNA from 1 species